rnacentral:lncRNA from 1 species
UGAGAAAUAAAUCUAACAUGAAUGUCUGCCCUUUUUGGGAAAGUUGCCUUGUCUUGAAACACUCGUUUUAAAGGGUAUGUCAAGUGUAAAAAGACUUGGUAAUGAAUUUUUGGGAAUAGCAGAAGACGACCAAGCUCGAGCUGAUCAAGCUGAGACAGCAUCAUCAAUUUUUAGGGACACCGCCUUUCCCAGUUUAGAAACACUCGAAUUCUUGAAUAUGGGAAAUUGGGAAGAGUGGGAUGAUUGCGAGAUUACCGGAGGAAAGACAAUUAUGCCACGUCUUCGUCACUUGUCGAUUAUUAGGUCCCCCGAAUUAAAGGCGCUGCCGGACUACAUUCUCGGAUCAACAUCACUAGAUAAGUUGCGAAUAAAUAGGUCUCAUCAUCUUAACAAUCGAUACAACAAUGAGACAGGACCAGACUGGCCAAAAAUUUCUCACAUUCCCAACAUUCGAUUUGAUGGUCCAGCUGUACAGGGAAGUUUGUAAAGAUCCUCGAAUCAAACAAUCUUCAGGUAAUUUCUAAACCAUAUCGUCUCCUUUAUUACUUAUAUAUGUACGUCUGUGAAUUAGUUGGUUCAAGAUUGGUCAGAAAUUAAUUUCUAUUAAUAAUAAGUUACAUAAUAUGUAAAUCAGUCUUGAAGUUUUUUUUUUUUAAUUUCUCUUUCCUUGCAAUCAUGCUUUAAAUGUAUCUGCCACAUUAUUUAUUUAUUAUGAUCUGUUUAACUAAAAGAAAAGGCCACUACGCAGAUUGUAUAUGUACAUCUAGCCAAACUAAAAGCAAACUUCAAAAAAGAAGCUGAAUGUGUUGUGCAAUUGAGGUUGGUUCGUGGUAACUUAUUAUUAAUAUAUAACUUAGUACUAAAUCACUGCAUAUGUAUGAGUAGUGUUUAAUUAUUAUGAAUUCUAAAUUAAUGUUGAUUGCAUUUUGCAGAAGCAGAAGGGGAUACUAAAUUACAUAUUUAGGUUCAACAUCAAUAUGUUCUUGUCUGGCUAAACUUAUACAUCCUGUGUCAAUAAAUUGAAUUGGCUGAUGACAUGUUUCGGGUUAGUUUUAGAUAUUCGUUAUAAAGCCCAUGUUUCUCAUAUGAUUUUGAUUAUUAAUUUAUGGGAAAUUCACACUCGUCCACUUGUUUAUUUUAAAAUAUUUUAUAAAAUAAAAUAAUUUUUUAAUUUAUUUAAGAAUAAAAUAAUUAUUUUAUUUAAAAUUUUAAUAUUAAAAUAGUUAAUUAAUACAAAUUUAAAAAUAAAAGCGAUUUAUAAAACAAAUCAAAAUUUCGUAGUGGUUCGAUGUAUGAAUAUGACAAAAUAAAGGUGGAGUGGGGAUAAUUUUCCUUUCGUGUAAAAAACAAGCGACGUCGUUUAGUGACAGCAGAACGACUAUUACUUGUACUGUGUAAAUAAUUCUUCUUCACCAAAACCGCCUGAAACCAGAGGAAAACAUAUUACAAUACCAACUACUUUUCUGUUUUCUCCUUUUUUUUUUUUCAAAAUAUCGAUCAAGCCCCUGACAAGACCCCUAGUUUAUGUAAGUUUGUUUUGUGAAUUUUUUGGGUUUGAGUUGACUUUUGAAAAAAUAGAAAGUUAAAUAAAAAUGAUGGGUUCGUGAUUUUGUUUGUUUGAUUAUCUAAAAGAACAAUAUUUUAUGUAUGUUUUUUUUUUGUUGCUACUAGUUGAAACAAGAAUUGAAGGUAUGGAAUUUAGUAGGUGAUGCUCUCUGGGCAUGUGAUGGAAGUUGAGGCUUUUGUUACUCUAGAUGGAAAUUUUUUCUAAUAGAUACCCAGUGGAAUGGGAAGGUUGCAAAUUUUGUAUUGGGUGCAAUAACUUUAACUUACCUUGAUCGAUGGGACCCUGUGAUUCCCAGUGAUCAUGAUAAUGUAUUUCUAGAAAACUUCAUUCAAUGUUAAAAUAUUUUGUGUAUUCUUGGUAUUAGUUGUUUCUGGUCUGAGUUUUGUCUUGAUAUUACUAAUGUACCAAAAGAUGUUAUCGCUAACGGAUGAUUUAAUAGCAGAUAAUAUGAUUGAUAUGAUGAUUCCAGGGGAGGAUCUAGUCUGAGUUUUGUCUUGAUAUUACUAACGUACCAAAAGAUGUUAUCGAUGUGUUAAUGAUGAACAAUGCAAGUUAUCAACCAUUAACGGAUGAUUUAAUAGCGGAUAAUAUGAUUGAUAUGAUGAUUUCAUGGGAGGAUUCAGUGCCUCUGCUUACGACUCUUGCUGUAAAAUAUCUCUCGAAUUAGCCUGCUGCUCUUGGGCAAUUGACGGUAUAUUCUAGUUAUUUUCCUCAGCAAAAUCUUCUAUGGGCUUGGGGCGUCACAGGUUAUUGUACAUAUAAUAAUUAGAGAUGGCAAAAUCCUCCAUAAAUUUAAGGCUUCAUGAGACUCUAUUUUAAAUGGGGUAAAUUUUGAAUAAUUUUUAGGAAAUUGAAGAAAAAUAAUUCUCAAAUUCUUAAUGGGAUAGAGUUUAAUUUUAUACUCCUCACUCCACCCCCAUCCCCAAAUCUACAGCAGAAAAUAAUUUUUUAAUUUAUUUAAGAAUAAAAUAAUUAUUUUAUUUAAAAUUUUAAUAUUAAAAUAGUUAAUUAAUACAAAUUUAAAAAUAAAAGCGAUUUAUAAAACAAAUCAAAAUUUCGUAGUGGUUCGAUGUAUGAAUAUGACAAAAUAAAGGUGGAGUGGGGAUAAUUUUCCUUUCGUGUAAAAAACAAGCGACGUCGUUUAGUGACAGCAGAACGACUAUUACUUGUACUGUGUAAAUAAUUCUUCUUCACCAAAACCGCCUGAAACCAGAGGAAAACAUAUUACAAUACCAACUACUUUUCUGUUUUCUCCUUUUUUUUUUUUCAAAAUAUCGAUCAAGCCCCUGACAAGACCCCUAGUUUAUGUAAGUUUGUUUUGUGAAUUUUUUGGGUUUGAGUUGACUUUUGAAAAAAUAGAAAGUUAAAUAAAAAUGAUGGGUUCGUGAUUUUGUUUGUUUGAUUAUCUAAAAGAACAAUAUUUUAUGUAUGUUUUUUUUUUGUUGCUACUAGUUGAAACAAGAAUUGAAGGUAUGGAAUUUAGUAGGUGAUGCUCUCUGGGCAUGUGAUGGAAGUUGAGGCUUUUGUUACUCUAGAUGGAAAUUUUUUCUAAUAGAUACCCAGUGGAAUGGGAAGGUUGCAAAUUUUGUAUUGGGUGCAAUAACUUUAACUUACCUUGAUCGAUGGGACCCUGUGAUUCCCAGUGAUCAUGAUAAUGUAUUUCUAGAAAACUUCAUUCAAUGUUAAAAUAUUUUGUGUAUUCUUGGUAUUAGUUGUUUCUGGUCUGAGUUUUGUCUUGAUAUUACUAAUGUACCAAAAGAUGUUAUCGCUAACGGAUGAUUUAAUAGCAGAUAAUAUGAUUGAUAUGAUGAUUCCAGGGGAGGAUCUAGUCUGAGUUUUGUCUUGAUAUUACUAACGUACCAAAAGAUGUUAUCGAUGUGUUAAUGAUGAACAAUGCAAGUUAUCAACCAUUAACGGAUGAUUUAAUAGCGGAUAAUAUGAUUGAUAUGAUGAUUUCAUGGGAGGAUUCAGUGCCUCUGCUUACGACUCUUGCUGUAAAAUAUCUCUCGAAUUAGCCUGCUGCUCUUGGGCAAUUGACGGUAUAUUCUAGUUAUUUUCCUCAGCAAAAUCUUCUAUGGGCUUGGGGCGUCACAGGUUAUUGUACAUAUAAUAAUUAGAGAUGGCAAAAUCCUCCAUAAAUUUAAGGCUUCAUGAGACUCUAUUUUAAAUGGGGUAAAUUUUGAAUAAUUUUUAGGAAAUUGAAGAAAAAUAAUUCUCAAAUUCUUAAUGGGAUAGAGUUUAAUUUUAUACUCCUCACUCCACCCCCAUCCCCAAAUCUAGGGGUGGGCAAAGUCGGUUUGGAUCGGUUUGAGACAUAUUCUCAAACCGAUCCAAACUUAUCGGUUUGAAAAAUUUUCAAACCGAUAUCAACUUAAAAAUUUUUCAAACCGAACCGAUCCAAACCGACUGGAUCGGUUUGGAUCGGUUUGGAUUCUCGGUUUGAGUUUUAUUAGCUAAAAGCUGAUUUUUUUAUUAUUUUAUCUAAAUUAUUUGUUAUUUUUUUUUGUCCGUAAUUCAAAUUGAUACCUUUUUUAUAUUAUUCCUAUCUACUUUGACAUCUACAUAACAAUUUAAAGAUACAUCCAUAUAAGUUUACAGCAUAAUACAUCCUAAUAAAUAAGUUCUUAACAUAUUCAUUCAAAACAAACUCACAAAAUAAAAAUAAAUUUGAACAACAUUUGACAAUUAAAAUAUUGUGCAUCUUGUCUGUCAAAACUUAUGGCCUAAUUAGUUUUGAUUUGUCAAAAUCUACAUAAAAUGAUAAAUAUAAUUAGUUAGAUUGUUUAACUUAAAAUAUAAUGUAAUUAUAUAAUAUUUUUGGAUUGGAUCGGUUUGAAAUCCUUCCAAACCGAAAUCCAAACCGAGUGAUGUCGGUUUGCAAUCCAAUAAACCGAAACCAGUUUUUUUACUAAUGAAACCGAUCCAAACCGAUCCAAAUUGUCGGUUUGGAUCGGUUCGGUUAAAAUAUGCCCACCCCUACCCAAAUCCCCAUUAUAUAUAAAUAUAUUUUUUUAUUUAAUAAUUUUUAUUUUAUCAAUUACACUAUUGCAGUGUUAGUUAAUAAUUUAUUUAUUUAUUUUUACUUGAUAUUAAUGGGCUAUAAGUAAAAGAAAACUUUACAAUAUAAUUUUUAUUCAACCUUAAAAUAUUGUUAUUUUUUUUCUUUCUUAGGAUGCUGCUUUUUUCAAAUGUUUUUCAAUUUUGAUAUCAUUUCCAGAUAGUGUUUAAAACGUUUGAAGAUUUUUUUAAAUUAUUUAAAUACUUUACAAUCUGGUAAUGAUUUUAUUUUAAUUUUUAAUUUUUUGAAAUCAUGUAUUUAUAUUUACUAUAAAAUAAAUAAAUGGGGAAUCAAAUAGGGACGGAAAAAUCAUUCCUCAAGUAGGGAUUCGUUAUCCUCACCCCCACUAAAUUUAUGAAGAAGUGAGGUGGGGAAUCGAGAUAAAUUUUUUAAUGGAGUGAGGAAUGCGGUAGGCCUCUCCACCUCCGACCUACCCCACUCUAUUGUGAUCCCUAACGGCAAUUGUAGUAUUCAUAUUUUUUAUUUGGACCCAACAAUUAAUAAUUAUCAUUACUAUUACUAUUAUUAUUAUUAUCACUCUUUGAUCAAAAUCUCCCAUAAUUAAUUCUAAUUACGAUCUCCUCCUUUUCUUUUCCCUUUUUUUAACCUUUUUAACAUUAAAAUAUUAUUUUAAAACAAUUUGUAAUAAGAUAACCAUUGGUGCAACUUUCUACUUUCUAACUUUCUUUUUCAUUAAAAAAAAUAUAUAGUCUUUUGUUGAUUAUGAUGAUAGGUAAAAUACCAUAAAUACGAAUUGAUUUCGAAAUUCAUACAUUUUAACUUUGAUCAGAGAGAAACGUAAUAUAUAAUACAUGUUUUAAAGAUAUAUAUGUUGAGGUCGACUUAUAUAAGGGAAAGAUGGGGAUUUAAUUGAAAUUAUAUCUAUUUAAUUUUACAUAAAUUUUACAUUUUGGCCCUUCAAAUUUACAAGUUUCAUGUUUUGUCUUCCUCAAGUUUAUGAUAGCCCCAACUAUUAAACCACAAGAUUAAUCAUGAUUGUCCAUUGAUCUACGAAAAGUGAUAUUAGUGAUUCAUUAUUAGGGUAAAAUAGGGAAAAAAUUAUAAAAGGCGAGUGAAGACAAGUUUUAAUGUAGAUUAUUCGAAUGUGGAAUUCAAUUAAAAUUAACAAGCAAUUCACAAUUUUGAUAAUGAUGGAUAGAAAAAAAUUUGGAGUCGCAUUAUUUUGAAGGAGGUCCACAAUCUUUUUGCCAGUGAAGCUUCAUCCAUAAAUGGUCCAAUGAUGAAAGUAUUCUUGCGGAAUGCGUAAUAUGCACAUCAAAUAAUUAUAAAAAAAUAAAAGUGUGGUUCAAUAAUUGUGCUUACCUCCACAUGAUUAAGAAAAAAUGAUCAUAUUAUUAAUAUUUAUUUAAAUACAAUAUUUAAAUAAAAAAAUCUCACAUCUUAAAAUUUAAAUACAUUCAAUAUAUUUUUACACACUUAAAAAAAAACUUCUCAAUUAUUCUCUGUUUCCACUUGCGUACUCCACUUACGUACUCACUAAACAAUUCUUCACUUAAAUUAUUUUCUCAAUUUUGGAAUGAUGUGAUCGAAGGAAUGCAUUGGUAUUAUGGACCUCUCUAAGUUAUGGUUACCGUUACUUUACUAUAACUUACAGUCCGUGAUAUGACUACCUAACCAAUAAAUAAAUGCUAGGUGAGCAUGACAAUAAUUAAAUGGAAUUUGUUUAACCGGUUAGCAGCCAGUUACUAAAAAACUUAACACAAGAGACUCCCAUUUAUAAUCGGUUGUGAGAAACGUAACAACGCCGUUUUAACCAUCAAAUUGAGAACACAAAAGGAGUUUCUUCUUGAGACAACCUCCACCACCGAAUUCCAACAACACAUAUUUCAAACCCAUUUCGGCAGCUUAUGAGUAUGAAGAAUAGAUCGCCAGAAGCGUGAGUUAGCCGUUGAACCGCACUUUAAACCCAAUUCAUCACAAAACUUAAUGAAAACUACUGUCACAAUUAGCAACGCUAAUAAUGGCAGAUUUUGGAAACUUCUCAAACACAGACGAGGAGUCAGCAGUGGAAGAUAUAAUCACUCAAACGAAAGAGCUUUUAGUUCUCGAGCUAGCCAAAACCCACAUCAAUGAUAAUCAUCAUCAUCACAUUGAAAAACACACACAAUUUCUUCAUCAUCAUCAUCAUUCAAAUCCAACUUCAAAGUCGGAGUUUUUAUUCGAUUCCAAACAAAACCCAGAUGGGAAACCCAGCUUGGAGACUGCAAAAUCAGUUUCUAGUUGUGAUUUUUCACAUAAAUGUCUACAUUUUAGGUUAAUUUUAUGAUUGUUUGUUGGUUCUCAUGGUUUUUGUUUUUGAAACUGAUCGCUUAGCUAACCCGACUUUCAUCUGACGGAUCUCGGCGUUUCUUUUCAGUGUCUUGUCUCAAUUGCUUACUUUUAACCAUUUUCUCUUUUGAGGCUUUUGGUUUUCUUUCUAUUUUUCUUUUAAUGGUUGAAAUUUAUUUUUGGAAUAUCUCCAGAUAUGGAGAACUAACAAUGUGAUCCAUGUGGGCAUGGGAUAUAAAGAGGAAAUUUAAAAAGAUAGCUCGAGAAGGGCAUCGUCCAAUAUCGAUGCUAAACAAGAGAGGGGAAAAUAAUGCAAGUCUCGUGGCCUGCUAUGGACAAUCCUUCUACUUUGCACCCUUGUACUUGCGUCCCCUUCCCACUCUUCUCCUUUUCUUUGGCCUUCGUGGCCAUUCUGUAAUUCAACAACAGUGCAACAAUCAAUCAUCAAUAGGUAUAUGCUAAUCUCGUUUCAAAAUCGGAAUUAAAACUUUGGGCUGAUAUAUUUCAUUUCCAGUCAAGUUCGAUUUCAUUUAUCUAGAAUCCUAGAUCAUUCCCUCUUCAUUUUGAACAUUUUUUGUUUGACAACCAUCUUCAAACCGUUUCAUCUAGUAGUUCAUCACUUCAAUUAACCAAUUCAGCCGAUUUGCCAUUUAUUACUAUUUUUGCAUAAAUUUGACAAUAUCCGUUGGAUUCAAACUAAAGAUAUCUAACGGUUUAAGAUAAGUUGGGUAGUACGUUACAUUAAACGUAACUCAGAGAUUGCCUGAUAUUUAUUAUGGAGCUUUUCUUUUCAUUCGGUUUUAAUAAUGGAAAAAGCUAUUUCCCCCGAUUUUAAACCCCAAAUUGAAACGCACCGUUUUAGCAAAUAGAAAACACACCGUUUAACCUUUGCUUUUGACGAUCUCUCUCUGCAAAAUCUAUCUCUCAGUCUCUCACACACCCGCAUAAUCUCUCUCAUUUAACCUCGUUUAACCUUUGUUUUUGAUGAUUUCUUUAACAAAAGAAUCGACAAUCCUUGCCAGCCAAAAUAUUUGAUUACGUGAUCAUUUCUUAUUGGUGGUCCCUCAAAGUUGUUUCCCAGACUUGGAUCAUUAAUUCGUUAUUAUAAUUCAAAGUUGAAUUUUUUUUAAAAAAAAGAAGAAUCGUUAAGAAUUUAAGAAAUUAAAAAAGGGAUGGCAAAUUGAUAACUCGGGAGCAUUCCGCAGACAAGUUCUGUGAAAAAUUGGUACGUUCUUAACGAACUUAUAUGUUGUAGAAAUUGGCAAUUAUUAUAUAUUAUUAAUCAUGAGUUAAUUUCGUUAACGAAAUUCGGAAGUUUGAAUUUAUGUAAAAUUAUUUGUGGAAAAAAAAAUUGGUUGGAGUCGGCGGCAGUGGUAGUGGAGAUGGGGAUGGAAGCAGGCGGCGUUUACCGUCAUGGAUGGCGGGGGUAAACGUAAAUAAAUCUGACAGCGAAGGACUGGAUCGUAAUUCCAAUUCCAAGGAGCCUGCAGAUAUUAUUGAAUAGUUGAGUGUUGGGUUGCAUCGAAGAGGAACACGUGCUUUGGUCUCCUCAAACACGUGCAAUUAAAAAGGACGAGAAAUACGUACAUAGAGACAGCUCCGAUCUUCUCAAACACGUGAAAUAAAAAACACAAAAGUGACCGUUUUAAAACGCACUGUUUUGGCAAAUUCAGAGUUAACUCUCGGGGGAUAUAGCAGCGCUCUAUAAUAAUUGCAAGCCUACGUUCAAUGUAGGCCACAAGCUUCUCUUUUCACAUGCCAUUGUCUGCCACAAGCUCAAAGUGUAGGGUACAGUUACGUUGUUUCUCGGGUUUAGUGCCCCAUGUCUUGUCUUUUUCAAAUUGAUGUAACGUAUAAUGGUUAUAUGUGAUUUUAGGUUAUUAACAUUAAAAGGUUGAUGUAAAAUAAAAAAAAAUUAAAAAUUUUAAAAUUAUGACAUAAAAAUUCAUAAUUUUUUUAAUUAUUAAAUUAAAAAUUCCAUAAUCUUUUUUAUUUCAAUACAAGAGAUUUUAUUAUCUCAAGUAAAUGUAAUGUGCAAAAUUAAAAAAUAAAUUUAAUUUGAUAUUCUACGUAGUUAAUGUUGUUUUUGGUAACAUAAGAUGUAUUUAACAUACUAUCAAUUAUUUUAUUAUGUAGUAAAAAUAUGUUAAUUUACUAAUAAUAAAAAAGUGUUAGUUUAUAAAUUUGUAAAAUAAUUUUUGUUUGUUUGAGUAAUGAUUUUGUAUUUUUAGUUGAAUUUUGAACAAUAAGUUUGUCUUUUUAAUUGAGUUUUUGUCCUUAAAAUAAAAAAAUAAAUUUAAUUACACACUUAAAUAAAUUAAUAUUUGUUAUUCCACCCCAAUAGUUUAAAUAGCCAUUAGUACACAUCCAUACUAUUGAGAUAUUUCAUUAAUUUAAUUAAGAGAAGGGUAAAUUUUUUUUAAAUAAUUACUCUAUUUUAAAUAUUUAUGUAAUUAUCUUUUAAUUAAAAUAAAUUUAGCCAAAUUUAUGUACUAGCUAAAUUUAGCCACAUGCAUGCACAUGCUCAACAAGUACGGAUUAAUAUAUCUACAAAAUAUUAAACAGCUGAUUCUUGUCGGCCACUAACUAAAUUUAGCCACAUGCAUGCACAUGCUCAACAAGUACUGAUCAUAUUAUCUACGAAAUAGGAACAGCUCAUUAUUGAAGUAUUGUGACUUGCAAUAUUUGGUUCAUGCAUUCUACUUUUUGGGUAUUUCUUAAUUUUAAACAAAUCAUAAUAUAUAAUGAUGGUUUUAAACAAAUCAUAAUAUAGCCACAUUCAUCUUUCUGAAAUCAUGAUCUCGUGAGAUUUUGGAGGUUUUAGUAUUUGAUUUUGUAAGCACUUACGCAAGAAGUAGUGUCUGGUUAAUUUAAUUCUACACUUUAAAUUAAUAAUAGUUCUUGCAUUAAUUACUGAUUAACCAUAUGAUUUUUUUUUUUUUUUUGUUGCAAUGAGAUAAUCACUUUCUAGAAGAAGAGAAGAGACUUUGUCAUUAUAAUUUUGUUCUAUAUGAUUUGGUGAUUACUUUUCCAGUAUCCACUAAUUAUAAAUAGGAAAAAUAAUCAAAACAGUCGAUUUCAAUGGACUUGGAAAAAUUUGAAAGACAUGACAAAAGAGGGGAAAAAGAAUUAAUAUAAAUUCAUACUGAUCCAAAACUUGGUUUUAUCAAAAGAUUAAAUGCUAAUAUACUGCCAUUUUGCAAUAUCAAAAAAUUACGUGUAUAUUAUAACAGUGUAGAAGAUAAGCUGACAAACAUUACUGUCCUGUCUAUAAAUAGCCAAAUGGAAGUUCAUGUGCAGAAUUAUCACAGCCAAAGCAAACCAAAACAAAGACUUGAAACUACCUACUUGCUUAGAUCAAAUUCAAUAACCAUCUUUGACCAUGGCUGAAGCUAUUGUCUCCACAAUCUUGGAGCAACUGGCUUUAAUCCUUGUUGAACAAACAGCUGCAGGGGUCAGACUAAUUGCUGGUGCCGAGGAGGAAGUCGAAAAUCUCCACCGCCGUUUCCAUUUGAUUAAAGCUGUUGUUGAAGAUGCAGAAAAAAGACAAAUGAAGGAGAAUUCAGUGAGAGUUUGGUUGGAUGAUCUUAAGCACGCAUCCUACGACAUGGAAGAUGUGUUGGAUGAGUGGAACACUGCUAUCCGGAAGCUGCAAAUGAAGAGAUCAUCUGGAGAUGCAAAUGUUUCUCAGCCUAUGAGAACGGUACGUCCUUCCUUCAUCAUCCCUUCUUACUGGUUUUCUCCUGGGCAACUAGUCCAGCGGCAUAACAUUGCUACCAAGAUAAAGAAUGUAGAUAAGAAGCUAGACAAUAUUGUUAGGGAUAUAAAUGCCUACGGGUUUAUUAUCUCGAGGGAGCAGGGAUCCGGGAAGGUAGCAUCUCGACCAAGCACUACCUCUUUUCUUGAUGAAUCUUAUGAGAUACGUGGAAGAAACCACCUCCAGAAUAAGGUAGCAAGCUUGUUAAUGAGUGGGAGUGAGAGCAGUACUGCUAGUGCUGCUAGUUCUAGUCAAGUGCCUACCCAGCGCCCUACAAUAAUUUCAAUUACAGGUAUGGGUGGAAUCGGAAAGACCACUCUUGCUAAACUAAUUUUCAAUGAUAAUGAAGUGAGGAACCAUUUCAAUGAAAAGAUAUGGGUUUGUGUCUCUGAGCCUUUUGACGAUAUUAGAAUUGCAAAGGCAAUUCUUGAGUCUUUAAAAGGUUCUGCCACUAAUGCGGUUGAAUCAGAAACUGUGUUAAAGCAACUACGCGAAUCUAUUGAGGGCAAGAAAUUUUUUCUUGUCCUUGAUGAUGUGUGGACUGAAGAACCACAAAAUUGGGAGCAAUUAUUGGGUUGUCUUAGAUGUGGUUCUAAAGAAAGUAGAAUUUUAGUAACCACACGUAAUGAAAAGGUUGCUAUUGCCAUCGGAACCACCAAGUUCAACAUAAUUCCAAUAGAAUUAUUAUCUGAUGAGGAUUGUUGGUCAAUUUUUAGUCAACUUGCACUUUCUAGAAGGUUAGAUAUUGAAGAGAGUGAAAAUUUUGAAAAUAUUGGUAGACAAAUUGUAAGUAAGUGCAAAGGCUUGCCUCUUGCAGUCAAGACUUUAGGGAGUCUCUUGCGUUUUAAAGGAAAAAUUGAAGAAUGGCAAAGAGUCUUGGAGAAUGAAUUGUGGGAAUUAGAAGAGCUAGAUGAAGGGCUUUUAGGGCCCUUGUUGUUAAGCUAUCUCGAUUUGCCUCCUCCAUUGAAAAAAUGCUUUUCGUAUUGUGCUAUUUUUCCAAAAGACUCGAGGUUAGAAAAAGAUAAGUUGAUCAGAUUGUGGAUGGCUCAAGAUUAUCUUAAAGUAAAAGGAAGAGAAGAUAUGGUAGUUGGUGAAGGAUAUUUUGAGAACUUAGCUAUGCGUUCGUUAUUUCAAGAUUUUGAGAGAAGUGAACAUGAUGGUGGCAAGAUAAUAAGUUGCCAGAUGCACGAUAUGGUGCAUGAUUUCAGUCAGUUUCUCACAAAAACUGAAUGUAGUGCUCUAGAUGUUAAUAAGUCCCGAUUACAACUUCCUUGUUGGAAAGCUCGACAUUUAAUGAUUACAGGGGAAACGAGGUCUGAAAUGGUGCCGUUUCCUUCCAUGGUUUAUGAUGAAACAAAAUUACGUAGUCUUGUGCUUGAUCAACGGUUAAGUUUUAAGCCGAGAAUAGCUCUUUCAAAAUUAUUUGAUCGGCUGACUUGUCUGAGGUCGAUCGAUGGUCUACCAGUUGGACAAAUUCCAAAAGGAAUAAAAAAGUUGAUACAUUUGAGGUAUCUUGCUUUGGGUGAGAAUCCAUGGAUAAAAGAAUUGCCAGAGGCAUUGUGUGAAUUAUGCAAUUUACAAACCUUAGAUGUGAGUCUUUGUCACUAUCUAAAAAGAUUACCUGAAAGAAUCGGACAGUUAAUCAACUUGAGGCAUUUAAUGAACUCUAAAGAGGAAUGGAGUAGAUUAAGUUACAUGCCCAGGGGAAUGGAGAGAUUGACUGGUCUUCGAACGUUAGGGGCAUUCGUGGCAAGUGGAGGCAAGAGCAGCAAAGCAUGUAGUAGUCUUAAAAGCCUGAACAAGUUGAAACACCUUGAGGGGUCUCUUACAUUAAGAGGGUUGGGAAAUGAGAGAGAUCUUGGUGAUGAUAAUGAUGAUGAGAAAGUAGAUCUCAAGAGCAAAAUGAAAUUGGUUGAUCUGCAUUUACGGUUUGAUUCUACGACGAAAACAAAGGAUCAUCGAGUAGUUCUUGAAUGCUUGCAGCCGCCUUCAAGUUUAGAGAAAUUAGGAAUUUAUGGAUAUGCAGGUGACACCAUAUCCCCGACCUCGGAUUGGAUGCUCUCAUUAGCCAAGCUGAGGGUGCUGACUCUACGUUUUUGCAACAAGUGUGAAUGUCUGCCUCCUUUGGGAAAGUUGCCUUGUCUUGAAACACUCGUUUUAGAGGGUAUGUCAAGUAUAAAAAGACUUGAUAAUGAAUUUUUGGGAAUAGCAGAAGACCACCAAGCUCGAGCUGAUCAAGCUGAGACAGCAUCAUCAAUUAUUAGGGACACCGCCUUUCCCAGGUUAGAAACACUCGAAUUCUUGGAUAUGGAAAAAUGGGAAGAGUGGGAUGAUUGCGAGAUUGCCGGAGGAAAAACAAUUAUGCCACGUCUUCGUCACUUGUCGAUUUGUUGGUCCCCCGAAUUAAAGGCACUGCCAGACUACAUUCUCGGGUCAACAUC